GUGCCAGCAGCCGCGGUAAGACAUAGGUGGCGAACGUUAUCCGGAAUUAUUGGGCGUAAAGGAUGCGUAGAUGGUAGAAUAAGUUACUGGUCGAUGCCAAACUCAAUUUGGCGGAAGCCGAUAAUACUAUUCUGCUCGAGGGCAGGAGAGGUUGUUGGAAUUCUGUGCGGAGCGGUGAAAUGCGUUGAUCUACAGAGGAACACCAAAAAAGGCGAAGGCAAUCAACUAUUCUGUUCCUGACAUUGAGGCAUGAAAGCGUGGGGAGCAAACCGGAUUAGAUACCCGGGUAGUCC
rnacentral:rRNA from 1 species